AUUGAACGCUGGCGGCAUGCCUUACACAUGCAAGUCGAACGGUAACAGGUCUUCGGAUGCUGACGAGUGGCGAACGGGUGAGUAAUACAUCGGAACGUGCCUAGUAGUGGGGGAUAACUACUCGAAAGAGUGGCUAAUACCGCAUGAGAUCUACGGAUGAAAGAAGGGGAUCGCAAGACCUUGUGCUACUAGAGCGGACGAUGGCAGAUUAGGUAGUUGGUGGGAUAAAAGCUUACCAAGCCGACGAUCUGUAGCUGGUCUGCGAGGACGAUCAGCCACACUGGGACUGAGACACGGCCCAGACUCCUACGGGAGGCAGCAGUGGGGAAUUUUGGACAAUGGGCGCAAGCCUGAUCCAGCAAUGCCGCGUGCAGGAUGAAGGCCUUCGGGUUGUAAACUGCUUUUGUACGGAACGAAAAGCCCUGGGUUAAUACCCUGGGGUCAUGACGGUACCGUAAGAAUAAGCACCGGCUAACUACGUGCCAGCCGCCGCAGUAAUAC
rnacentral:rRNA from 1 species